GAUCCAAAUGGAUUAGUAUUAUUCAAAUUCUACAUUCUCUCUGAGUUGCUUAUGUUCUCUAUGUACAUGGUUGUCCAUUUCAUUUACUUUCAGGCAGUCGUUUAACUCGUUCUCUUAAUUGCAUUGUUACUUUCACUAUUGGUAACACGAACCUGCAAAACCUUAGCUCAAGAUAAAAAAUUGGUGUCAAAUGCGAGUCUCAAGACCCUUAUUACCUCUCUAUAUCAUCCAAG
rnacentral:lncRNA from 1 species